ensembl:lncRNA novel transcript
AGCUUGAGGAAUAAGGAGGUGAAAGAUGCAUUCAGAAGAAAAAUUGAGAGGAAAAAAUUUAUUAUAGUGGUGUGAUCAUCUUGGUCUCCUACAUUUACAUUGUCAUUGCCAUCCUGAGAAUUCGCUCUGCUGACGCGAGACGCAAAGACUUCUCCACUUGCUC